CUGUAGUUCCUGAUCUAGUGAGAAGUUUCACUCAGUCCUGGAGAAAACAUUUCAGUUGGUCUUUAUGUGAAAAAAGAAAAACAGGGUGAAAGGAAACCUCUGAGCAGAAAGUCAUCUCGCAGCAAAAUCCUUCCCAAGCAACUUAUUUUUUACAGUUCUAACCGAAUUCAUUUGGCAAAACUGACAGAAAUUCACAGUAUUUCUGCUUUUUUUUCACCAGAAAGAGCACUGAGCCCCCCAGAAUCCACCCACACUGUUUCUGCUGCUGUGUUCAAAAAGCCACGGGGCUCUGGGCCCUUGCUGGCAGGACGGGAGGGACAAGGAACAGCCCUGCAGGUUGGUGACAGAAGGUUUAGCAAAGGGCUCCUGGAAGCCUUCCCUCUGCCAUACUUCCACACGGCGAAUGUUCCCGUUACUACUUGCAAGCUGGUCACAGAGCACAGCAAAUACCAGGUACAAUAAAGACCCAGACAGCAGAACGGAGUAUAAAUAGAUGAUGGAAUUCCUGGCAUCAGCUCUGGAGCAGUUUGGGACUGGAACGAGUGAAAAAUACAGUUUCUCUAAAAGGGAAAUUUCCUGCGAGUAAAAGCCAAAUGUUCCCCCUUGCUCCCCCUCCUUCUUUCCCCAGAUUCCAGUUUUUCACUGGGGAGAAUCCAAGUGUUUCAAGUGAGCUCAAGCAGAAUUUCGCUGUGUUGAACUGGCCUGAUUUGGGAUGCAAACCGACCUCUGAAAGGCUGAAAUUUCCCGUGGGAGCAGAAAUUCGGAAUUUUGCUCAGCUCCAGUUACUCUGUGCAUGGAAAUGGCUUCCAGCAAACAAACAGCGCAGACAGGAGAUGCACCCGGAAGGCUCACGGCCCUUAGGAAGCUCUGGAAAACCCAAGCUGGAUUUAACAUCAGUGAGAAAACCUGGAAUCAGAGCCGUGUCCCAAAACCCGGAGCUUCUGUGUUGGAUGUCUGCACAUCUCAGCCUUAGAGACCUGAGCAGGGCUCUGGUUACGCCCCAUGGAGGGAGACUAUGGAGGCUCAAGUCCUGCGUAUGGGAUGGAUGACACCAUAGGGGACAUGUCAUCUCACGUGAGAUAAGUGACCCACUAUGCACACAGUGUGUUUCUGCUUCAUUCUGCUGAAGACGAGCAUUUACACAGGCCGUUCUGAAAGUAAUGCCUCCUAUUUAUUUCCAAAGAAACAACAACAGAUACAAAGAGCACAAUAAUGCUGUUUGAUAGAGCAAAUUCUCAGCUACAAAACAUUAUUCUUCAACAUGGGCACCACCAUCCACUCUGUAUUUUUGAAAGUAAUGAACAAGAGCCUGUGUGCUGUGCUUGUACAGGCAUGCAUCAGUGGAGGUAACCCACUGUCACCAUCUGAAAUGCAGCACCAACUGUGCUCACUGUGCUCACAUCCACCAUUCGAUCUCCAUAAACACUCAGCAAAUGUUGGUGAAUGUCAAUGGAUGCCAUUUUUUCUGCAUGGAGGAUUUAAUUCCACCCCUUUGCUUCAUACAUGCUUCCAUGACAGACACCAUUUUGCCACGCUGUCCCUCAGCUGUUGUUUGUCACACGGCAACAAAACAUAAUGGGAUACUGGUGGGAAGGUUCAGCCUCUACUGCCAUCCAAUCAACAUCUGCUUCUGAUCAUAUAGCAGGAGGCAAUACUUUCAGAGCAGCCCUUGUAUAAUGGCUCUUUUUAGGUGACAUUUUCUUUUGGAUAAUGGAUACAAAAAGAGGAAAAGGGAGAGCAAACCAAUAGAAAAAUUAUAAUGUGAUUGCUUUUAAGUGGCUUUUUUUGACCCGUUGUUUCGAAAAGGUGCCGCAAAUCAGUCAAAGUUUCCUCUUCCCAUCUGCGAAGGUGCUGUUCUAAAUUCAACCUCGCAUGAAAAUUCAAGCCGCCUCGUCCUCACUGGGGCUUUAAAUCAAAUUAGUUAACUGAAUUAGGAAUGCUUUUUGCUUUUAUACGUUUGGUUGAGACUGAUGAGCCCAGAGCCGUGAAGGAGCUCAGUCUGACUGCAGCUGCUGCCGGACCUGCAUGCAGUGAUCCUCGUGCCCAGAGCUUCCAUGAGCCUGCCCCGUAUUUUCUGCACCAAUGACAAAUACCUGGUGUCAUUGAUAUUCCAUUAGUUUCCUUCACUGAAAGAUCAGACAGCUUUAAAAAGCCAAUAAAUUCCCACACGUUGUCUCUAAGAGAAGGAUAAAGGAUUCCUUGGCGGGCCACACACCAUUAAGCCCCAGAAGCGAGUGGUGUUUUAUGGUUUGCGGAGCUGAGGUCACUGCUUUGGGAUGGAUGCAAUUAAGGCUCGCAGAAGCUACCAAAGCCUGCU
rnacentral:lncRNA from 1 species